UGCCAUGAUGUUCGUAAUUUGCGACUGACGCUACAACAGUGGCAGUGCCUGCUGUCAGUGAGCUGUUGUUAGCUUUGUGUUGAUAAAAAUAAUCCUGAGCC
ensembl:snoRNA SNORD16 Small nucleolar RNA SNORD16